UACGUAGGGGGCAAGCGUUGUCCGGAUUUAUUGGGCGUAAAGAGCGUGUAGGCGGUCAGGUAGGUCCGUUGUGAAAACUCGAGGCUCAACCUCGAGACGCCGAUGGAAACCAUCUGACUAGAGUCCGGAAGAGGAGAGUGGAAUUCCUGGUGUAGCGGUGAAAUGCGCAGAUAUCAGGAAGAACACCCGUGGCUAAGGCGGCUCUCUAGUACGGUACUGACGCUAAGACGCGAAAGCGUGGGGAGCGAACAGG
rnacentral:rRNA from 1 species